rnacentral:lncRNA from 1 species
AGCAACUGAAUGCCUGGGUGGAUCAAGGUGGUGAUCUCUUUUCGUCCUGUAGCAAAGUAGACUUGUGGGUGUGGUCUGCCUUCACUGAGAUGGAAAUAAGAAAUUACAACUAGAGACCAUCAGAUCUGUAAGGCCUGGAGAGCCACGCAGAAGGAUGCAGACUGGUCAUCGGGCAGGAGUAUUGGUGCACAGAUGGCCAGUAUUGGAGGCUGAGACUUGAGAGAUGUCAAACAUCUGAGUGGGAUGGGAAAAAAUGAAGCUGAGAGUGUUGCAAUGAACUUCCCAAGGUCAUUCAUCUGCAAAAGAUGGGACUAAAGUACUCAGCAAGUCUCUGAAAUCUGCCACAUGGUAUCUCAACCUUGUGUCCUUGAUUUGUUCCUGCAACAUCAUAGCAGUAACCAAGAUUAUUUUAGAAACAUCCUAUUGAAGUCCAUAAAAAUCCUUUUGAAAUUUGCAUUGAGAUUGACUUGGAAGCUUUCUAAAGUGUCGCCACCAGAGAUCUCUCAUCUGAACGCCUAAAAAAGGGUCACUUGUCCAACAGCCUCACCUCAUAGACCAUGGCUGAGAGUCAGAGAAGAAAUAUGGAUCUUUUCUGAACAGUCAGAAUGGACAUAAUGACGAGGCCUGUCAUUGAAAUCUGUGCUUUAUCCAGAGGAAUUACCCUUGAGGCUUCACAUAACAUCUACCUUCCUAUCCUUAUUUUUGUCCCCCGUAAUUGUCACAGUACCUGGCACAUAGUUGGUGCUCAAUAUAUGUGUUGCAUCAAAAACGCUUUUUGUGCAUAUUGAAAGAUUUCAAUCUGAAAUGGUGAAUGUGCUUAAUGUUUGGGCACUUAAAACCAUAAAUUUCGGUAAUCUGACAAGCCUGCUCAUGGUAGUAGCUGAUUCUCUUGCGAUUCCAGAAAAAUGAAGUGUUUUUGUAUUGACUAUUUCCAG